GACGAACGCUGGCGGCGUGCUUAACACAUGCAAGUCGAACGGAAAGGCCCUGCUUUUGUGGGGUGCUCGAGUGGCGAACGGGUGAGUAACACGUGAGUAACCUGCCCUUGACUUUGGGAUAACUUCAGGAAACUGGGGCUAAUACCGGAUAGGAGCUCCUGCUGCAUGGUGGGGGUUGGAAAGUUUCGGCGGUUGGGGAUGGACUCGCGGCUUAUCAGCUUGUUGGUGGGGUAGUGGCUUACCAAGGCUUUGACGGGUAGCCGGCCUGUGAGGGUGACCGGCCACAUGGGGACUGAGAUACGGCACAGACUCCUACGGGAGGCAGCAGUGGGGAAUAUUGCACAAUGGGCGGAAGCCUGAUGCAGCAACGCCGCGUGCGGGAUGACGGCCUUCGGGUUGUAAACCGCUUUCGCCUGUGACGAAGCGUGAGUGACGGUAAUGGGUAAAGAAGCACCGGCUAACUACGUG
rnacentral:rRNA from 1 species